AAGUAUCCUCGUUGUUGGACGUUUGUGCACAGUUUCUCAACUUGAGUACUAACUUUCGCUGAGACCUUGGCCGCCUGCAUUCACCCACGUCCGAAGUCUCUGCGGGACUCUUCUUCGGAGGUUCAUCGUCUUCAGGUUCCUGAGUUUCUGUAAGAACUUUCCCGUUGCGUAGAAGCCUCUGGUUCUCGUUCUCUCCAGAUGUACCAGGUCUUUUGGCAUCCUCAGCGGCCAGGCGGCGUGCUUCGUCGUCUUCAUACUCAUGUAAGCUCGAAAACAUGGUCAACGCAUUCCGAGCUGCCAUCCUCAUAGGCCUCAAUGCAUGGUCCGGGUUUGACUUUCUUAUCCGCUUUCUAGACCUCAGCCUCUGCGUUUCCUCAGGCAUCAAAAGAGCAUUGUUUGACUCCUCCAAGCGCCUGCGCUUUUGCUUCCUCACCAAGGUUGCGAGUAUCUGUAGUGGACAAUCACCAUUGAAGUUAUCAGAGACGCAAAAGCUGGACGUACGUACCUCUCUCUUCUUUUUCCUUGUUCUUCGGUUACGAACCCCAUCAGAAUCAAUUUCGUCAAUUUCUUUGUCGGUUGUUUCCGAUUCACAGAUCGUACCACUUUCUUCAUUUCCAUCCUCGUCACUCGAGCUUUCUUCGCUCGCGCAGUAAUCAGAACCAGAAUCGUCACUCAAUCCAGUGACUUCUUCAUCCCAGUCCAUUGCCUCACCAUCCGCCGGUUGUUCUACCCAUCUGUUGCCUUGCUCGUUUGUUUGCUCGAUUGCUUGUAGAGCGGCAACUACUGCUUGAGGCUGAUCUUGAGGAAUGAACGCUGGAUCAUCAAACGUUCCCACUGCGAGCUGAACUGAUGGUGGUUGCCAGUAGCAACCUAGGAGUCCCAGACGACGUUGCUGGUACGAACUUUGAUAAGGUUCUGGAUAGGGAAUCAAGCCUGAAAAUGAAACAGAAAAAUAAGUUGGACGAGGUGAGAAGUCACCAGCUUACUUGCAUCGCACAAGAGAUCUUGAAGAUUCCUUUGAUGAGGAGGCAACUGAGUUUCCUGUAAAAGAAAGAUACUCAGUUUUUGCAAGAACAAUACCGGAAAAGAACAACACUCAGGACUAAAACUAAAUAAAAGCACUUACAUCAUUUUAUUUACCUGAUCGAGAACGUUUCCACGAGUAUCUCGAACAAGAGGCCGAUAAUCUCCAAGAAAAAGCUACACAGAACCCGAAAAACAAACAAACGCUGUUAGGAGAAGGAUAUGAAGCUAAUCUUCCUGAUACCUGGUCGUAUUUCGCAUCUUCGUCGUCUUGACUUGGGUAGAAAAAAGGUAGACCUGGCCGACCUCAUCGGAAACAACCAAUGAGGUUCCAUCCCUGAAAAUUGGCAAACAUGAGAACAGUAUAUGGACAUGAGAACAAGCUUACGGUGAAAAGUUGCCAUCGACAAGAUUAUAAUCUCCCGUCUCAAAUGUCCUUACUGGACGGCCCUCCCAGAUCUAAAACAAAAUUCGUGAUCAUUUUUUUUGAGAGAAUACACUUACAUCCCACACAAUAACUCGGCCAUUGUAGCCCGCACUCAUUGCAAUGCGAGGAUUGCAUGGAUGUACAUCUAGCACGUAAGUCUAAAUAAUAGAUGUUAAGAAAGAAUGGAAUCAAUAAAUUCCAUUUCAAUACCUGCUUGGUAUGGCCGGUUAAACAGUGCACCAGACUGCCAUCAACCGCAUUCCAGACACAUAUCCGGCAAUCUGCACAUCCAUGUUAUUCCAUAAAAUUAGUUCGUGAGGUAUCUUACCCAUAAUCGCGGCGAGUACAAAACGAUUGUCCAAACUCCAGACUAUCAUAUUAACACCUCGAGGAGUUGGAAGCAGUUUUUGUUGAGGUCCACCAGUUCGAACGGGAGGCUGUGGCAUCGGAGGGGGCGGUACUUUCAAAUGAUAAGCCUUUACCCAUCGACCUAGCUUCAGCUGGAGGAAAGAGGAGCAGUCAUGGCAUUAGUUACACAGAAAGAAAGGCCAUGCACACCUGUUUUCUAGGACGAGGAGACCAGAUAAUAGCAGUGCCGUCUCUUGAGCAAGUAACUAUGCUAUCUUGAGGAAACCUGAACAAAACCAACGUUAAAACCAGAUAGCAAUGAGCGGCACAGUAUACCAGGUUGUUUUGAACUUCGGUAUGUUGUCAGGGACGUUGUCAUCCUUCAAAAAGUCGACGGGAGAAACUUUGAUUGGCUCUGCACAACCACUGGAACAAAGGACGAUUGAUGUCAACGAGGACCAAGCCAAAGAGGCGAACCUGAACUGCACGUAGUUAACUACAUUCUCGUGUCCACUAAGAAUGUCAUGCUCAUGAUUUGGCCUUCCGGUGUACUCGUCCGCCCACUUUCUUGCGUUCCAAACCUGUUCUAACAAUUGUUAGAAAUAUAAAAAGUUCACUUUAAAUGCUUACCCUGGCAAGCUUGUCCGAACUCCCAGUGACAAAGUAUGAGCCAUCUGCAUUAAACGCACAGCACUGAAUCUGAUUCGUAGCCUGUGCUCGAUUCUCAGCUCCUGCAGCUGGAAACAAGCUUUUAGAAAACCGAAAAAACAUCGGCAGACUCUUUACAUUCGGGUUUGACAUCCGGCUUCGGCAUGUAGACACGUGAAUUUACAGAAGAAUCCCGAGCAUCCCAAAUACGGCAUGUUCCGUCUUCAGACGAACUUGAAACCACGAGAUUUUAAUACAACUAAAGUGGAAAGAGCAAAUUAUUAACACUUACGAUAGAAGAUGGUGCUCACAGCCCGGUCGGGGACUAAAUUUGAUGGCCGUUACGCCCGCCGUGUGGCCACGAAGUAUUGCAACCGGAACACCAUCUGGUAAUCCCCACUAUAGGCAGAAGCGAAAUGAGUCAAAACAAAAAACAAAAGCAGAAUACUUACAACACAGAUGGAGGAAUCGUUAGAAGCUGAUGCAACUCUAGUGUUCGAACUACUUACAGACAAAUCGGUUAUAUCCCCCUAAAAGCCAGGUUUUAGGCACAAUAUUCGAAACGGAUGCAGAAAAUAGUAUCUCGUGUCCUCUACAGCUACGAAGGCAAAGUCUAUUUUCUACGGACCAUAUCUUCACAAGCCGGUCGUCCGAGCCAGUGACAAGAUACCGUCCAGUACGAUCAAAAACGGCUGCACGUUUAUCGCUUCGUUAAUAGGUCUUGAAAACCAAAAAGAAAAGAAACACGUACCACAAUAUACCGCAUUACGAUGACCCCUUAGCACCUGGAUGAUUCUUAUUCUGUUCACCAGUACAGAAGGCUUGAUGAUAACAUGUUUCACAGUCUGUGAUGCUUUGCAAAUCCACCACCAAGUUCAUGGAACGCGGGAGCAUGAACUUGGUCAGCUUGCCAAUGCGGCCAUCGCAUUUGUUCUAUUCUCUUGGUAGAGAUACUAGUAGCAUUGCUUUGCUCCGCUGUAUGAAGUUUGCUCGGAUCAGCAACGGCAAGAUUCGAAAGGUACACGGCUUACAUUCCAAAAGCGAGAAUGCUCCUGACCCCAAAAGUGUAGGAACGUCCGCGGCGGUCAAUUGCUUGGGAACUUUCGCAUCAAGCAAGGACGCGGACGUGUCGUGAACAAGUAGUUGCUGCAAGAGCUUAACCAAGUGGUUGUUGUCAACGUUCUUAUAUCUGAAAAUCGAAAAAUAAAAAUAAAAAAUCCAUCCUUUUGUCAGCAAGACAAAUCCUAAGAAAGAAAGAACUUGGCGACACACAAUACCUCUCGGCAACUUGCGCGUAGCUGAGUGGGAACGACAAACCAUCGUCAUUCUCGUCGGCGGGUGGCGUUCCAUUCCUGAUGGUACCUCUGGGGCAAGAGCUUGUGCUGUAGGAGCUCGUUCCAGAGCUGGUCAGUGGCUCUCUCGUAAGGGCCUCUCCUCAGGAAGUGCAUGAUAACUUCCGCAACUCGAUCUCCUCGUCUUGUUCAUGCAGGUGAUGAUCAGCUCCAACAUCAGACCGUAAAGCCACCUACGUUAGUCAGUCUGCACGAGAGGUUAGCUAAGCUGCAUGAAGAUUGCACCCGAGUCUACUUGAAGACAGAAAACUUGAAAGCUUCGAUUCAAUGUUCCGUUACCAUACAAAGCAUUUGAACCCAGUGACUAUAUGCGAUAUCCGCAGCUCCAAAGGACCUCCUGAAUAAAUAGUCUCCUGAAUAAAUAGUUACACUCAUCCACCUACAAGGAAGUACCAAUUAGACAAUGCCAGGCCACGUUCAUGUCUAUGUUCUUGCCCGGAAAAAGACUUACUAUCAGAAGCUCACGACAUAUAAGCCUUUUUAUUUCGAAGAACGAAGAUCCGAAUCAGAAAAAAAUAUCCUGAGAAAAAAAAAGAACAGCUUUGUCGUUUCUAUGAAUCAACUACUGAUCAUUGAACCAGCAGCAGCGCCACUUACCCACCACUAUGCUCUUUGCACACGACUUGAUCAAGCCAUCCAAACCCUGAUCCAGUAUUUUAAAAGCCGCACAAAAUCUAGAUCUAACAAAUGCUUACCUGAUAGAGGGAUGUGGAAUAGUCGAUCAUGACUUGGUUGUGGGCUGCUAUAACAUCCUGGAGCAUGAAUGGGAUCCAUUUGUACAGCAGUGAGGGAGGAUUUGCAAGCGAUCCAUGGUGCAUUGUUGCCAUGGCUAGAGAAGUGAAUGUUGCAGCUAUGCAUGCUGCAAUCAAGGAGGACUUCCAAGCACUUCACGAUACAGUGAAGGAACCACGGCAACAACGUCUUAUUUUAUGGCACUAUGGAUUGUUGGCAAAUCCUCCCUCACUGCCGCACGAAUGCCAGAGGCCAUCACCUGGAGAUUCUCAGUCACAGCUCCCAUUCUUGCACACAUGGCAGAUGCCAGCACCAGCACACAAGCUGUGGUCACGAUGCACAGCACACUAAUCGCAAUGGUGCUAACAAGCACUAUGGCAAUCAAAAACUCCAUUGGCAAGGUUUGCAGCAAAGCCUUUGCAAAAUCGAAAAUGAAAUCAAAUUUACAGUAGUUAUGAAAGACACAAAUGACACUCUUACCAGAAGUUCGAGCCGCCCGCCCUAUCUUCGCAAGAACCCACAGUCGCUUUAUCUUACGUACAAUGGGCCACUGGCCACUUUCUUGGUGGGCCGCCAUUCGUACAGUGGUCUGGCGGGAACUCGAGUUCCUAGUGGAUUCUCGCGAUUUCUAUCAGUACACGGGCUCAAUGACAAGAGGAGGAGGAAGAGGAGAAGGAUGGCGCUCCAUCUCCUCGACUUCUUUCGUCCUCAUGGCUUUCCAGGUAUAAAAAGAUUGAGAGUGAUCCUCAGACUGAUCUCGUGUUUGACAAUGUAGAUGGAUGUGUAAGGAAAAUGUUUCUUUUCUUCGUUAACUAAGACCUCGAGAAAUUUUUUACAAAGCUCACAUUUGCAGUGCCUCAGAGAAGCGUUCUCUCAGCCACUCCACCUUGAGCACCGACGAAUGCUGUUUCCCAAAAUAUGUCCGGAAGUUGUCGAUCAGUAUCCUAAGAUCGUGUGACACCGCCAUCACGCUACGAUAAUAGUUGUUCUCCAGCCGCUCGCGAAUCACGUCCAUGGAGAUUGGUAGCGCAAUCCUGCAUUGAUUGAAAACCUUUAGCUUCUUUCUCAAUCGCAAGAGAUUUUUCCAACUUGCCUGUCAAGAAAAUCCGGCUUGCUCACGGCCUGCUGCAACCUCCACAAGUCAUACUCGUCCUGUGAAAAGCAAACGCUCGUCAAGCCAAGACCAAAACCGAAACAUUCCUCGAGUCUAUGAUCGAUCGCACAAAAACAAACCUUGGAUUGGUUCGAGUGGAGCACCUCGUCCACGAUGUCGAGCAGCUCACGCACCUUGUCCUGCUCGAUCUGUGGCGACUCCCAAGUUAAAGGAUUCUCAACGUCGUGAAGCUCCCAGGGGCAGUGGUUCGUCGUCGAUGGCUCGUCCUUGUACAGCACAUUGAUGCUGUCCCUGGGGCUGUUUGGAAACUCGGGCGACUUUCCCUUCACCUGAGUUAUCGUCCCUUCCCACCAGCGACCACCUUCUUCCUCGUCCGACCUCCACCACACUUGGCACUUGUCCCGACUGGACCACUUCCUGGCCAUGGAGGCCUCGUAGCGGCUUCUCUCCACUAUAAAGUCGGCGAAGUCUGUCAGCUCCGGCAAGUCGACGCUGAAGCUGCUGCCGCGAAUCCUGUACCCGUCCAUAAACUCAAGAGUCAGCCGGCAACAAGUGUUCCCCGACACUUCGAGAAUGAUGUACUCCAGUCCGGUGAUCUCGCAGAAGUCGACCACUUGCAGUUCCCUUUUCACGCUUCUCCAGGGACCAUCGUCGUCGAGCCGCUUGUUGUCUAAGUAGUCUUGAUGUCCCUGCGAUCGACAGUUUCAAUUCAAACAUAAUUCAAGACGAGCUCGUUGGAUCUCUUACCUGUCGGAAGUACACCACCUCAUCACCAUACUGUGGGAUGUAGCGCGUCCGCUCCACCUCUGUCAAGAGUAACCAGGACACGUUGCUCGGACUCCGAUGCACCGUGCUCAGGUUUCUCCUCACGUGGAAAUCCUUGUACCUCGACCCAACGUUCUUCUGCAGCUUCACUUUAAGUCUGCUCGAAGUUCUUCUUUCGGGCUUUCGGCGUCCAUCGUCGUCGCUGCUUCUAUCCCAGUCCGAGUCGUCGUAAGACGAGCUAGCUUCCCAGUGUGAGGGACGGCCGACGUUUCUCCUGCUUCUUGUGGACCUGCUGUUGGAGAGACUAACCACGCGACCCUGCGCCAGCCGUGUACUUCUCCUGCGGCCACCUGAAGCGUGCUCGUCGGCCUCAUAACACUCGGUCUUAGUCGCAACUUUGCGAGGCCUUCUCCUUGAGUAGACGGCCUUGUUCAUAUUGCGCUUCAUUUGUAUAUCGUCCACGUCCAGGUCCUCACUUGCCUGCUCUUCCUCGGGCUUGUAAGCAUCCUCCAGCGACUCACUGUUACUGCCGGGUGAAACCUCUUCGUGGUAAUCACUAUUCCGAGCUGCUGCUGUUGUGAUAAGGCAUGCGAGCACGCUUGACUGCUUUCCCCUUCUUCCAUAUGUAUCCCUGUUUGUCGUCAGACGAAACAGCUUCAGUGGGAUUCUCGUCCGCGAUAAAACCAUCUGUUUUUGGAUGACUGUCAUUAGCCUCGGACAUGGGGACUUUAGAAGUGCCUUGUUCUGGUAUUUCGAGGCUCUGAAAAGUAUCCUCGUUGUUGGACGUUUGUGCACAGUUUCUCAACUUGAGUACUAACUUUCGCUGAGACCUUGGCCGCCUGCAUUCACCCACGUCCGAAGUCUCUGCGGGACUCUUCUUCAGAGGUUCAUCGUCUUCACGUUCCUGAGUUUCUGUAAGAACUUUCCCGUUGCGUAGAAGCCUCUGGUUCUCGUUCUCUCCAGAUGUACCAGGUCUUUUGGCAUCCUCAGCGGCCAGGCGGCGUGCUCCGUCGUCUUCGUACUCAUGUAAGCUCGAAAACAUGGUCAAGGCAUUCC
rnacentral:lncRNA from 1 species